rnacentral:rRNA from 1 species
AGUGAACGCUGGCGGUAGGCCUAACACAUGCAAGUCGAACGGCAGCACAGUAAGAGCUUGCUCUUACGGGUGGCGAGUGGCGGACGGGUGAGGAAUACAUCGGAAUCUACUUUUUCAUGGGGGAUAACGUAGGGAAACUUACGCUAAUACCGCAUACGACCUACGGGUGAAAGCAGGGGAUCUUCGGACCUUGCGCGAUUGAAUGAGCCGAUGUCGGAUUAGCUAGUUGGCGGGGUAAAGGCCCACCAAGGCGACGAUCCGUAGCUGGUCUGAGAGGAUGAUCAGACACACUGGAAGUGAGACAGGGUCCAGACUCCUACGGGAGGCAGCAGUGGGGAAUAUUGGACAAGGGGCGCAAGCCUGAUCCAGCCAUACCGCGUGGGUGAAGAAGGCCUUCGGGUUGUAAAGCCCUUUUGUUGGGAAAGAAAAGCAGCAGGUUAAUACCCCGCUGUUCUGACGGUACCCAAAGAAUAAGCACCGGCUAACUUCGUG